UUCGUCGCUCAGUUUCUUGACACCAAAGCAAUUAGCUGUUCUCUUUAAAAAAGAAAAAAAAAAAAACGUAAUUAGGUCUGAAAUUUCCCAUCCAACCCUUUACCAACGUAUCGGUACUUUCCUAUUUAUUCCACCGCCUUAACGAUUACUAAUUCAAACACGUAAAUUAAUCUCAACCGUCGAUCGUUUCCGGCACUUCUCAAUCAUAGCCGUUCAUUUCAUCUGCUUCUCCUUUAAAACGAUAAGAGUGCUUUCAUUUCUUCCAUCUGCCUCCGAUGGAAACCCUAUCUUUCCAAGUUUCUUUGAUUUCAUUUUUCGCAGAUCUAGCUCCGUCUUCCACUCUGUCGAUGUUUCGAAGUUCGUAGAUCGAUAGAUCUUUUGUAGAUCUACACGUUGAUCGUGGUUUCUUGUCGAUUCGGUCUCUGGUGACAGGUUUCGGUUGUUUAUUCUGAUUCAGACCAGCUCAACAUCAUCUGAUUUCUUAUCCUAUCCGUUCCUGUUUUGACUGCGGUUCUUGGUUGUUUUGUGGUCGUAGAUCUGCACGGUGAUUGCGGUUUCUUCCCGAUCUAGCCUCCGGUGACGGAUUUUGUUCAUUUCUUUUUUGUUCUGACAGGUUCAACACCAGAUCUGACUUCUCUUCUUUUUGGAUCAUGUUCUCACGACGAUUUUUUGGAUUGUUAUAUUGUUCUUUAUUUUCUUUCAUGGUGCUACAUCCUUUUCUACGACGUUUGAGCAAGUAUCGUUCCAGAACGGGGAAAUCCGGGUUUGAUUCUUGAUAUUGGUUAUUUGUUUAAUUAUUAUGCAACGAAAGGCGUCUCGAUCUAUUCGAACAGGUAUGGAAUCAAAGUCGGUGGUGGAUGUUCAUGAAGGCGAUUAAGCGUGGUGUCGAAGCUGGAGAUGAAGCGGCACGGUGCUGUAGAUGUAGUGGAUCUCGUCUGAAACUUGUUCGUUGAUUCGAUGUAGCAGAUCUGUGGACAAAUUUUCGAUGGAAGCUGUAUCAUCUUGUAUCAUAAUUAUGAAAGCAUGGGAAAGAGUAGAUGAGUGAUUGUGGAUGUAAAAGAUAUCGGUAUUUAUCCUCUUUUUUGAGGUGGAUGAAUUCUGGUAGCUCUUUGUCAUCCGGCCUUUGCCAUGACAGGUGCGCUUGCAUGGCAGGUCAUUCAUAAUAAAAAAAAUAGUAUGUUUUGGUUUUGAGGGGGGAUUGCACGGGGAUUGCCCGGGGUCUUCCCCUCACUGUGGUCUGUUUUCCCUCUUGCUCUCUUUCUCUCCUGCAACUUCAACCGACAGAAUCACACCUAUGGUCAUAGCGUAUGACCUGAUCCAAAUCGCGACAUCCAAAGGUACUCGACUUUUCAUUUCAGACUCGUAACAAAAAAAGCAAUCCUACAAUUUAAAUUCGUAAGGAAAAAACCGGUAUGGAUAACAAGAAAGAUUCUAGUUCGUACUUCAUGUUUGUCGUGAACAUAAAUGCGUUUUCGGUCUUAGUAUCGUUUUUCGAACUUGUUUUGAAUCCAUAGUAAUGCUAUCUUUUGGGGAUUUUCGAAUGACAGUUUUUGCAAUAUGAGGAGUUUCAUGUCAUUUCUACAGUCUUAGCAAAGGUAAAGUAAAGGUUUCACAUGCAACAAAUUUUUACAUUUUGAACUGUAACCCACGUCGCCAUAUUCAUAUCAUAUUUAAGUUGUAUAAAAUUAUUUACAUUAAGUUAUACUGUGUUCAUAAUACUGUUCUAUUUCUUUUCCCUAUCACAAUGAAGCGAGCUUGAUAAUAAUAUAAACCAUUUAAUUUUUUAUCCUAUAUUCUGUAUUUUUAUAAUGAAAUGCUUCUCAAAUAGAACUGUAGGUAGUUGCAAUUUCUCUAUCAGUUUGAUAUGUAAUGUCGAACAGUAUGUUGAUAUCAUUUUAUUAGUAUUAUCAAUUGAACCCCAUUUAGGGGUAUGUAUUUGGGUCAUGUAUACGUACUCCCGGCUGUUUCGAUGAUAGUAGAUUGUGUAGAAAGCAACUUUGAAUGCCGUCCACGAAGGUUAACUUAUGCUUUGCACCGAAGAUUCCCAAAUGAUGGAGACAUGGGUGCAGUUUCAGCGGCUCAGUUUGGAAAUAUGCUGUAAUCUGAUGGUAUUUUACUAGUUUUUUUGCCUUAUCUAUGGAUUCUUGCACUUCUAAAGUUUUUCUGCGUUCCUAGUUUUAAUAUUGUUGACAUCCUUUAUACACAAGGGUUUUUAGAAUUGCUUUUUUGAAGCUUGUUUAGUUGGUAUGAAGACACAUUACAGUGUUAAUAAUAUAUUGUGCGAAGUAUCUUUUUUUCCGAAAGAGCCUGCUGUUGUAACAAGUGACAUGGUUUAAUAGUUUCAACUUAGCUGUUGUAACAGUCACAUGGUUUAAUAGUUUCAACUUAGCUGUUGUAACAGUCUCAUGGUUUCGUAGUUUCAACUGCUGUUACUGUUUCAUUUAGAACUAUUUUAGAAUUAAUUCCCUGAUAGAUAUACAGUUGAUGUAAAUUUGUAGUUCUAAUGAUAUCCUCGUGUUAUAUUAGUGAGCGAAUCACUGUGACAUAUGAUGAGAUUCAAUCGUUACGUUUCCGUAUCUUAUUUUGUGUUUCAGAUAAUCGAUAGUAUUCUUCUUGCAAUAACUGAAUUUUGAUGAUACUGUAAUUUUGAUGAUAUAUGGUAACGAGUUUGUUAGAAAUGGUUUUGUUCAUUCAGUCCUGUUUUUUCGCCUUUAAUUUGCGCCUUCGUGUCCGUGAGGCAGAAUUGAACAUUUGUAUUAGUUGAUAUUUACUACUUCAAACGGUCAGUUGUUGCAUUCAGAUUAAUCUAUCGAAUUAUUUUCUGUCGUAGACUAUUGUAUAUAAGAUUUUCCCAAAUGGGGCCACUCAAAAAUUGAAUUUGAAGGCAAUAUUGGAUUUUAUGUUUCUAUGAAAAAAGGUUUUCUUGAACCUUCUUUUCUGAUGAAGUUUUCAAGAACGCAUAUAAAACGAACUAUUUUCCAUCCUAAAAUUUAUUGCAUUUAAGUUCCAUCUUUUCAGUGUGUUUUGCUUUGUAAUUUUUUCUAUUUUAUCCCAUUCUAAAUCCUUGUCAUUUGUAAAAGACCUAGAGUUUUGUAAGUUCAUAACUUUUUUGUAUAGUUUUGAUCCGAUUUCCAUUAAAAUUUAUUCGGGAAACCUUCAAAUUAAAAUUUUCGUUGCUUUGAUAGAUCUGUAAGCUCAGUAAGGCAGAGCGCUCAAUUUCUUCCGAAAUCUGAGAAUCUGAUGGUUCGAAUCCGUCCAGAUCUGAUUAUUUUACAAGUGGUAAACUUGAUAACAAUUAAUUAUGUACCAAAAUUGUAUGUAAAGCGUAGUCUUGAAAAGGUGUUAGGUAGUGAUGGGCAAUUUUUAAAUAUGUUGCUUUAUGUUAAUUAAUUACUGCUGUUUUUACUUUUACAAUUACCCUUUAUAUCAAUUCCCUCUCCUUCGAUAUUUGGAAUAAAUUCCCUGCCAGACCUGACGAAGAAGGGGGUCUACUGACGAAGAAGUGCGGUCCACUUGCGGUUCUGGCCAAGAUGGGCGGUUCACCGAUUGGGCGGUUCACCGAUUGGGCGGUCUGUUACUCAAAAUUGAAGGGCGGUCCACUGAUCGAACGGUUCUGUAAUUCAAAAUUGUUCUGUUCUGGGACUCUCUAGAAUGAUCUACCUUUAUUUAUUCAUUUUUUAUUUUCUUAAAUGCCAAUACAAGCUGUUUAUAAGAAUCGUUGUAUUUAUCUGAAUAUCAUUUUCAUUUAUAUAUUAAAAUAUAUAAAACGCAUAAGAAUCCUUGUUUUAUUCGCUUCUUUCACCUUUGUUCUACUUUUCUCUUUGGUACUCUUAUUAUUUGCUUACCAAAUUCGGUUUAAUAGGAUUUAAAUGAGAAAUAAUAUUUAAGAUUUUGUUAAUUAGAAUGGGGUGAAGUAUAUAUAUAGAUAAAUAUUCUAAAGGAAAUAUGUCAAAAGUUGCAAGUUGUUAUUCUAAACUUUCGAAAAUAAUAAAAUAUAAAAGGGAACGAUAAUAUUUAAAACGUUUAUAUAUUUUAUUCGGAAUAUAAUAACCUCUCCAAAUAUCGUGUUCAAAUUGGUUUUUUCUUUUGCUUUCGGAUAAAGCAAUGGUUAGGAUGACACGUCGAAACUUCCCUUCUAAAAUAAGCCAAGAAAUUAUCGCAUUUAUUCUUUACGUUUUAGCGAUAAUAACUAAUCCACGUCGUUCUCUCUGUGCCGUUGAUUUCUUUUAACAAACUUUCAUCUUAACCAUCCAUCCCGCUCCUUCCCUCCAUAAAAGGACGGUGUAUCCUCAUUCUCAACUCAUCGGCGGACUUCCUUAGGGUUCCAUAUCUCUGUAUUUUGCGUCUAUGCUCGGAGCUCUCAACGGUGAUCUUGUUGAUUUCUGUUGAACGCUGCCAGAGAAUGGAUCCGUGGACGUCUGAACCCGAUGUUCGUUCCUGUAAUUAUUCUGCUGUGCGAGUUUCGGCGGCGGAGUCUGGUGAAUGAUCCAGAUCUGAUAGGUACGAACGAAAUGAAGUCGGAUCUUGGAUCUCUUCCAUUCUGAACUCCUUCUGGAGCCGUGGCCGCUUGUCAUCGUCGUCUUGUGUGAUGUCUAUAUAAUCAAGACUUUGUUGAUCGUGUUUGAAGAAGCGAUGAAAGAGUCUGUUGAGACUUAUAUUCAUGUUCGAUUGAAGCAUUAACUCUGUAUAUUAAUAUAGAGCGCGUCGGAAAAGAUUAGUUUAGUGUUGCUCUGGAUGUGAAAGGUAUCGGGAGAACAUCCUCCUUGUGGGGGAUGAAGCUUUAUGUUUCUUUGUCAUCCGACCUUUGCCAUGACAGGUGCGCUUGCAUGGCAGGUCAUCGGAAAAAAAAUAAAAUAGCAUCGUUUUUGUUUUGAGGAAGAAGCCGCACGGGGUUUGCCCGGGGUUUCUUCCUCGUUGUUCUGUGUUUUCUUCUCGUUCUCUCUUACUCUCAGUUCGUCUAUCUUCAACCAACCGCCAUCAACUGCUUCUCGGAUUUCUCUGAUUUCGCGCCGUUUAAGCCAAGGUAAUUCCUAAUGAUUUUUUUGCAUAUUGAACAAACCUCACGAGAAAGAAAAUCUUUAUUCACUAUCUGCAUCAAUACUUAACAAUCAAUUCCUAAAUAUUCUCUUUAUUUAUCUUCACAAUUUCACACUUUUUAUUAUUUGUAUAAUGAACACAACCAUCGUCUGCUUUUCUAAUCAAUACGUAUCGUCUCUAAUUACCAAUUUUCAUUUCAAAGAUUUUAGGCCUAGUGCCAAAAAAAUAUUUGUUUAUUAAACUUGUUCGGCAGUAAUUUUCUGAUGUGCAGGGUCAUAUGGAUAAUAAAUUCACAAUGAUUCACCUUUGCAUUCAUGCCUUUACAUUUAUUGUCUUUAUGAUUUUCUAAAGCUUAAAAGUAAAUGUGUGUAAGAAUACACCUUUGCAUUUAUGCCUUUCGGGUUAUUCGUCUUUUCUGAUAACAUUUAAUGCCUUCAUGAUUUUCUAAAGUUUAAAAGUAAAUGUGUAAGAACAUAUAUUCUAAUCGCGAUUGUAAGCAAGGUUUCUUUUGAUUCUUACCGUUCGUGAAUGCGGCCAUUCUCGACUACUUACUACACAAUACAUAUCUUCUAUCCAAUUCGUCAUAUAACUAUCAAUUUUGUGCAUUUUAUUCUGGGAUUCUUUUUCUUGCCAAGGAUGACUUUUUCAGAACAAUUUGUUGUAGAAGAUUUGGUUUGUAUUUUAGAUCUUCCAUUGGUCUGUCCUGUAAGAUAAUUCAGUAUAAUUAGUUUAGCUUUGUUAGAUGUUUGUUAUUAUUAGAUUGGGGAAAUUUCAACACUGCUUGCUCGCUAGCCAAGAUUAAUCGAGGAUUUUACAAGCUACUUGGCGUUGGAGAAUGGUUAUUGCUCGUGGGUGAAUGGAAGAUAAAAUCUGGAACAAGUAUCACUCGUCUCUGCCGAGUCUUUUCAUUAAUGGAAGGUCUUGUAUUAUUUCUGUUUUUCAUUCGCUUCUGAAUUCAGCAUUUUUUUCAAUAGUUGCAUUAUGCAGUGCUAAUUCUUUAUAUCUAUUGAGGUCUUUUUUUAGUAUGAUUACGUGAUUGGACAAAGUUUCUAUUUAGGGUUUAGGGUGGAUGGAUGUCUAAUUAAUUAUGUUUUCUCACUGAUUUGUCACCGAAGUUUGGAAUACUAUGUUCUAUUAUUACUCGAUAU